UGGACAUCCCCACUCUAGGAAAUACACACAGACUGAUGAACAAUGCUAAAUGCUAAUAUAAGAUGGUAAAGAUAGCUAAAACCAUUAGGCCUCUAAUCAUUGUCUCUUUAUUUUCAAAUAACAGUGAAAUAAUGAUGAACACCAGAGCUGUGCAACACUGACAAGACAAGACCACCUUCAGGCUCCCGGCAGGAGAAAAACGUUUCACUGCAAAACAGACACAGAAGGGAAGGCAAAGAUAUCCUCAUGAUCGGGAUCCGCUGUCAACUGACAUUAAAGCGCACAGCAAACAUUUACAGCCUUCUUGAAAUAUCUGUGGAUUCGUGGAGGAUUGUCAGCCAGGAAGGAUAAGCAACAUGCUUACAAGCAUCUCAAACCUCCAUAACCAGGGCCCAUGUAAUGCAUAAAUCACAAGAUUUGUGGCUGUGGAUCAAAGAGGACCCAGCGUUGCAUGGUGCAAGUGCAGGAAACACAUGAGCCAAAAGAAAAAGGAAACUUUUUUUGAAAAGAGAGUGGAGCACCAAGGACCGGAAAACAAAAACAAACGUGCAGCUAAUUGAGACAUUUCGCUCAAAGACACGCUUUGGUGAUAACUUGAGCCGCACGCUCAGAAAAAUAUGAGAAGGUAGAAUAAUGUUUGCAAACAAAGUAGAGCAGAGAAAGAAGAGAGAACCCCCUGACAAAGGCAACAGAACACAGUCAGAACACAGUGGUGCCGAGCACAACGCACCAGAACAGGCUGUAAUUGUGUUGUGUGGGACUGACCCCAGCGCAUCCCAGCAGGCACUGCAUGAUGAAUGGGCCUGGCAUGACUACAUCCCACAUCCACGCCCCCCUUCAUCCACCUCCUACUCAUCCUCACAUGCCUUCUUCUCUUCCUCGCCUGCCUGCCACUACCACUAGCCCUCCUUCUGUCCCUCCCUUCCCUCUCUCUCCUCAUCGCCCCCAAAAACCACACUCCAUUCAGCCGCUGCCAUGCUGCAGGAUUAAUUUGCAUUCAGGGCACUUAGUCCUCGUAUUGUGCUCUGACACAAUGACAUAUUACAGUGCAUGGCACACCUAUUAAACAUAUAGUCUAGCAUAAAGAACAAUGCUUUUUUUUUUUUUUUCCUUUCUUGUUUCCUGCGAGAUAUUAUGAUGGAGUACAAAUGUGUGGAGGGAGAAGCAUGCGGGGAUACAGCUUGAUUGGUUAAGAACACAGAGCGGCUGACGCGGGAGACGCAGCAGAAUCAUUACAGGAACAGUUAGAUAACCUCGAUUAAUGAUUCACUAGAGCCAAACUAAUAAAGUGGGUCAGUCUGUGUGCUGGCAGUGGUAGCGAGCACUCAGAGACCUCCAGGUUAGGGCCGUGUGUGAAGAACAGCAGCAGCGAGAUGGAGCUAGUAAAGGAAAAUUAAAGAGGGAGAGAGAAGCAAUAGAAGUGUUGGUGUAGCCUCACUGUAGACCCUGAGGAAUGAGACAGUAAUGCAUUGGAAAUGGUUUUUUUCUUCUAUCUUUGCACACUCCUGUUCUCCUUCCACUGAUCCAUCGUGCCAAAGUCCAUAGGGAGUGAAAGAAAAUAGGGAGGGGUGUGAGACGAAAUUUAAUUUGCUACACUGUCUCUAGCUAUCACCCACUAUGCCUGGGGGGCCCAAAAAGAAAUAGAUUCUGGAAUUUAAAAAAAGAAAGAAAGUUAAGCAAAAUAAAGAAAUAAAAUCAGGGACACAUGGAGACAAUAGCACAGGGGGUGGCUGGCUGGAAGGAAUGAGAGCGGAGUUUGGGUGGGGGUUAAGUAGCCAGGAGGACGGCUAUGUAGGCCAGAUAUUAACUGUGCGGUUAUCAUAAACCAGCUCUGAGGCCCGGCCAUCUGGGGAAGCCAAGGGGUUAUUCAAACAAUCACAUCAGCGUGGAGGAUAGUCGCCCCUGUGGACAAUGCAACAACCAAACUUAGAGGUAGCUGGGGGUGGGGGGUUAACAAGCCAUUACUUCACCCUGUUGCUCUCCCAGGGCGGAGGCGCAGGAUGGGGCUGUGUUGGUUCUUCAAACCCCACGGCGUACCUUUUUUGCUGUUGGUUGACAAAGAGGAGCUUUAGUGGGCCGACGUCGGCACAGAGGCCUCUGUUGGAGAGAAAAGAAAGAAGCUAGGGCGUCGACUAUAGAGACAGUUGUGGAUUAUAUUCGAGUCCCAUUACUCGCCUACAGCUUUUCACUACCUGUCACACAAGCACUCCAAAAACUAAAACAGUAAAGCCACAGCCUUUCCAACUUCAAAAGCCACUAUGCUGUGGUAGAUGAGCAGCAAAGCAGAAUAAAGGACGGAGGAAAAGAAGAAAGACGAAUGUUAAAUGAAAGAAAAAUGCCAUUGCCACAGCAGGAUAUUAACAUGACUUUCAUUGACAAGCUUAGGUUAGAGGUUAGAGCUGCACAAUACACUGUAGGUAUAUUGCGAGUGUACGCAAAACUUUGUGUCACAAAGAAAUGUUUGGAGUGCAGCAUUUGUUGGCAAAUAUAUUCCUUUCCCUAUAUUUUCUUACAGUUCUUAAACUUAAAUAAAAAAACAUCUAGAAGUGGUAAAAACUGAAAUCCAAGUACAAAAUUCUAAUCUUUGCAUCUUUAAUUAUCACCCUCAUAUUUUUUUACCCUUGUAACAAUAAACAAUACGAUAAUUACCCAACCCUAAUAGCCACA